UAAAUGUAUAUAAGAAAAAAAAGAGAGGCGCACUUAAAGCUGUAUUUAUCAUCUCGAAUCGAUCUCAAUUACCGCGAAACGUAUCGACGUUUGGCGAUCGACGAACGGUGAAUUAGCCGCGGAGAGAGAACACCGUAUCGCGUGACAUUCGAAAUUGUACGAGAAAGCAGGCGCGGAGGGAGGGAAGAAAAGCGAGCGGCGCGGUGGAAAGCGAGCGGAUCGCGAUCGUGAUCGGGAGCACGCUCGUUAGAGAGGCCGCCGGCUCGUUACUCGGCCGCUUCUGCAUCAAAUCCGGCAAUUAAACAGCGGCGAUCGCGUUUACGCCGAGAUAAAUACCGGUCACCUCACGAGACCGAGGCAGAGACUUAUGGGUUGAUGAAGAUUACACGGGGACAGGGGAAAGGUGGGAGAGAUGACAGGAGGAGACGACCAAGGUAGUUCCUGAACUUCCCAUCGAACGCUACAUGGACGAUGACCUCUUGGCGGGUUGCACAUUUUGAACGUCUGGAUGCGAUAAUAAUUUGGAUCAUGCGUAAUUUCGAUAAUAACGUAACUUCUUCCUUGUGUAUUUUAUUAGUUAGCUUGAUUGAAAGUAGCAUUAAAAUGGGAAAGGGAAUCGUACACGUGAUUUUUUAGAAAAAAUUUUUUUUAACAACAAAGAUCUUUCAAAAAAUUAAAUUCAAAGACGUGAAGUUGAGAGCUUCGUUUAUUCUUUGAAAAUGAAUUCAGAAUUUACAAAGCUUUUUUUAAAUAUCGACAAUUUUAUUUGCAACAAUUUUUUGCAUGUUACAAUUCAUAAGAUUAAAAUAUCACCCUAAACUAUUAACAUGUUAUAAUCUAUAACGAUAUAAAAUUUUAUUACCUGCUCUAGGGAAGUGUAAACUUUUCGAGAAUACGAAUAAAACGAGGCGAGAGACGAGCAACAAGGAGAGAGAGAGAGAAAGAGAGAGAGAGAGAGAGAGAGAGAGAGAGAAGAGAGCGUUACGACGAUGUCCACCGAUGAAUUACCAUACCGACCGGAUUACCUUUCAUGCGCGAAACAUCUCCAUCAGCUGGAACCGCGAAUAAUCCGAUAAGCGAAUUAAGAUUAGCAGCUUCUGAUGAGCCGCUAAGUGACUAUCGACGUUCGCAUAUCGACCAGCUUCGGUGACAUGGAGCUGAGUGGCGACGUCGAUCACCAGAAAUCGAUCAUUGCCUCCUCGCUCGAUCCUUCGAUCGACGUUGUUAUCGGCAUCGUACACAGUGUUAGCCCACCAUCAACCAUCCAACGAUCGAUAUCUAUACACCGAAUAAUCUCAGCAACUUUCUAAACUCUUCUCCUACCAUCAAUUCCAUCCAAAUCGAACCGACCGACGCAGCAUCUCUCUCGCCAACUGAUCACGGAAGAUCGAAGUGUCAGGUUCCCACGAGAACGUCGCGAAAUUCACGAACCGGCGAUCGUGUCGUCGGUUUUACGGUCCUCGUACAGAAGCUUGGAGCAGGUAUACACGUUUACGACGUCGCUGGAAAAUCGGCCGUAAACGCGACUCAGUCGUAAAGAUUGUCGAGUGGUUGCUCUCUCACGUUCCGGGCCAUUAGGAUCAGGACGGCGAAAGAGAGUCGCACGGCCCUGGAUGAAAGGAUACUUUCUCUGUCGCUCGUCGACGUUUCGGCGCAAGCGCGAUAGAUCUCGGCGAAACGGCGAUAAAACAAUCAUUUCGUUCUAGAGAGUGUCAGAUUCGACAUGCUGAUGACGAGCGAUGGCUUUAUAGCCAAAACAUGAUGUUAGAGAGAUUUUGUUUGAAAUAAUGUUGCAUCGAAAGUGAAAUUUCUAACUUGAAUGAUAUUCUACGAGAUGAAUGAUUAUUGAAAAAUGAAAUCUUCUUAAAUAUAAUUGUUUGGAGAAGGUUUAUAAACUU